rnacentral:lncRNA from 1 species
UUGAUGCAUCCUGUAAUAUUCCACCGAUUGCCCAGGUUAGCAAUCAGCUGCUGGUAUAUAUGUAUAUAUUAUAAUAAUAUGUAUAAAUUUCUUGAAAUACAAUUAUACAACAUUUUAAUACAUUAUGUUUUAUUCUAUCAAUCGUCUAAACUUCUUUUUAGUGACUUUAGUAAUGGAUUAAGUUUCAUUGUUCUGUUUUCGUUGUAUCUUUUUAUGUAUUCUCGAACAAAAAUUUGAUAAACAUUUACCUUUGUCAAUUUCUGAUUAGAUACAUAAUAUGAUUUGUAUAUGGAAAAACCUAAGAUUGUUAGGAAAUAAUUCAGACCAAAAUAAUUUUUGUCAAAAAUUUUAUAUCCAAAGACUAAUUGCUUUAAUGAUACUCUAAAAUUU